rnacentral:rRNA from 1 species
GACGAACGCUGGCGGCGUGCUUAACACAUGCAAGUCGAACGGAAAGGCCCUGCUUUUGUGGGGUGCUCGAGUGGCGAACGGGUGAGUAACACGUGAGUAACCUGCCCUUGACUUUGGGAUAACUUCAGGAAACUGGGGCUAAUACCGGAUAGGAGCUCCUGCUGCAUGGUGGGGGUUGGAAAGUUUCGGCGGUUGGGGAUGGACUCGCGGCUUAUCAGCUUGUUGGUGGGGUAGUGGCUUACCAAGGCUUUGACGGGUAGCCGGCCUGGGGGGGUGACCGGCCACAUGGGAACUGGGUUACGGCCCGGACUCCUCCGGGGGCAGCAGUGGGGAAUAUUGCACAACGGGCGGAAGCCUGAUGCAGCAACGCCGCGUGCGGGAUGACGGCCUUCGGGUUGUAAACCGCUUUCGCCUGUGACGAAGCGUGAGUGACGGUAAUGGGUAAAGAAGCACCGGCUAACUACGUG